rnacentral:rRNA from 1 species
ACGAACGCUGGCGGCAGGCCUAACACAUGCAAGUCGAGCGAAGCCUUCGGGCUUAGCGGCGGACGGGUGAGUAACGCGUGGGAAUGUGCCCUUUGGUACGGAACAACACAGGGAAACUUGUGCUAAUACCGUAUGUGCCCUUCGGGGGAAAGAUUUAUUGCCAUUGGAGCAGCCCGCGUUGGAUUAGCUAGUUGGUGGGGUAAAGGCUCACCAAGGCUACGAUCCAUAGCUGGUCUGAGAGGAUGAUCAGCCACACUGGGACUGAGACACGGCCCAGACUCCUACGGGAGGCAGCAGUAGGGAAUCUUGCGCAAUGGGCGAAAGCCUGACGCAGCCAUGCCGCGUGAAUGAUGAAGGUCUUAGGAUUGUAAAAUUCUUUCACCGGGGAAGAUAAUGACGGUACCCGGAGAAGAAGCCCCGGCUAACUUCGUGCCAGCCGCCGCAGUAACAC